UACGUAUGGAGCAAGCGGUAUCCGGAUUUACUGGGUGUAAAGGGAGCGCAGGCGGCACGGCAAGCCUGAUGUGAAAGCCCGCGGCCCAACCGCGGGACUGCAUUGGGAACUACCGGGCUGGAGUGCCGGAGAGGUAGGCGGAAUUCCUAGUGUAGCGGUGAAAUGCGUAGAUAUUAGGAGGAACACCAGUGGCGAAGGCGGCCUACUGGACGGUGACUGACGCUGAGGCUCGAGAGCGUGGGGAGCAAACAGG
rnacentral:rRNA from 1 species